UACGUAGGUGACGAGCGUUAUCCGGAUUUACUGGGCGUAAAGCGCUUGUAGGUGGCUUUGUAAGUUGGGCGUGAAAGCCCGGGGCUCAACUCCGGAAUUGCCUUUAAGACUGCAUCGCUUGAAUCCAGGAGAGGUGAGUGGAAUUCCGAGUGUAGAGGUGAAAUUCGUAGAUAUUCGGAAGAACACCAGUGGCGAAGGCGGCUCACUGGACUGGUAUUGACGCUGAGGUGCGAAAGCGUGGGGAGCAAACAGG
rnacentral:rRNA from 1 species